rnacentral:rRNA from 1 species
CCUGACUGCUAUCGGAUUGAUACUAAGCCAUGCGAGUCAUUGUAGCAAUACAAGGCAGACGGCUCAGUAACGCGUAGUCAAUCUACCCUAUGGACGGGAAUAACCUCGGGAAACUGAGAAUAAUGCCCGAUAGAACAUUAUGCCUGGAAUGGUUUAUGUUUCAAAUGAUUUAUCGCCAUAGGAUGGGACUGCGGCCUAUCAGUUUGUUGGUGAGGUAAUGGCCCACCAAGACUAUUACAGGUACGGGCUCUGAGAGGAGUAGCCCGGAGAUGGGUACUGAGACACGGACCCAGGCCCUAUGGGGCGCAGCAGGCGAGAAAACUUUGCAAUGUGCGGAAGCACGGCAAGGUUAAUCCGAGUGGUUUCUGCUAAAGAAACCUUUUGUCAGUCCUAGAAACACUAACGAAUAAGGGGUGGGCAAGUUCUGGUGUCAGCCGCCGCGGUAAAACCAGCACCUCAAGUGGUCAGGAUGAUUAUUGGGCCUAAAGCAUCCGUAGCUCGUUUUGUAAGUUUUCGGUUAAAUCCAUGCGCUUAACGUAUGGGCUGCCGGGAAUACUGCAUAACUAGGAAGUGGGAGAGGUAGACGGUACUCGGGAGGAAGGGGUAAAAUCCUUUGAUCUCUUGAUGACCACCUGUGGCGAAGGCGGUCUACCAGAACACGUUCGACGGUGAGGGAUGAAAGCUGGGGGAGCAAACCGGAUUAGAUACCCGGGUAGUCCCAGCUGUAAACUAUGCAAACUCAGUGAUGCAUUGGCUUAUGGCCAAUGCAGUGCUGCAGGGAAGCCGUUAAGUUUGCCGCCUGGGAAGUACGUACGCAAGUAUGAAACUUAAAGGAUUGGCGGGGGAGCACCACAAGGGGUGAAGCCUGCGGUUCAAUUGGAGUCAACG